GAAUACACAUAAAACAGAAAUGAAGUUUUUUUAAUAGAAAUUCUUAAUUUUUAUGACUUUCUCAUCAUGAUUAUUAUAAGAAAUGGUAGGAAAUGAAUUUUGCACCAUGUCCAAUAUUUU